AAAAGGAAGGAUGUCGAAUGUCGUCACUUGAGAGACUGGAUGAAGGGGAGGGAGUUCAGGCUACUUGCCUUGCUAACACAGAUAAGUGGCACCAGUCAUGUAGGCUGUGCUUCAACAAGACCAAGGUUGAGAGAGCUGAAAAAAUAAGUCUGAAAUCUGACUCUUCUCAUGAAGAUGUUCCUGGAGCAUAUCGUUGGGACAAACCAUUAUCUUCUC